rnacentral:rRNA from 1 species
GAUGAACGCUGGCGGCGUGCUUAACACAUGCAAGUCGAACGAAGCACUUAAGAUUGAUUCUUCGGAUGACGUCUUUUGUGACUUAGUGGCGGACGGGUGAGUAACGCGUGGGUAACCUGCCUCACACAGGGGGAUAACAGUUAGAAAUGACUGCUAAUACCGCAUAACCCGAUAGGAUCGCAUGAUCCAGACGGAAAAGAUUUAUCGGUGUGAGAUGGACCCGCGUCUGAUUAGCUAGUUGGUGAGGUAACGGCCCACCAAGGCGACGAUCAGUAGCCGGCCUGAGAGGGUGAACGGCCACAUUGGGACUGAGACACGGCCCAAACUCCUACGGGAAGCAGCAGUGGGGAAUAUUGCACAAUGGGGGAAACCCUGAUGCAGCGACGCCGCGUGAGUGAAGAAGUAUUUCGGUAUGUAAAGCUCUAUCAGCAGGGAAGAAAAUGACGGUACCUGACUAAGAAGCCCCGGCUAACUACGUG